rnacentral:rRNA from 1 species
GCGUAGGAACCUAUCGCACAGUGGGGGGAUAACACUGGGAAACCGGUGCUAAUACCGCAUGUGGUCAGUGAUGAAGAAAGCAGCAAUGCGCUGUGUGAGGGGCCUGCGUCCGAUUAGCUGGUUGGUGGGGUAACGGCCUACCAAGGCGACGAUCGGUAGCUGGUCUGAGAGGAUGGUCAGCCACACUGGGACUGAGAUACCGGCCCAG